rnacentral:rRNA from 1 species
GACAGAGGUGCCGAGCGUUAGGCGGAAUCACUGGGCUUAAAGCGUGUGUAGGCGGGUCGUUAAGUUUCUUGUGAAAUCCCACCGCUCAACGGUGGAACUGCUGGGCAUACUGGCGAUCUUGAGCCACCUAGGGGCAGACGGAACAAGCGGUGGAGCGGUGAAAUGCGUAGAGAUCGGAAAGAACACCAACGGCGAAAGCGCUCUGCUGGGCCGACACUGACACUGAGAGACGAAAGCUAGGGGAGCGAAUGGG